rnacentral:lncRNA from 1 species
CGGCUUGUUGCACGUGCUAAGUGCAAUCGUGAUUCCUACGAAAGUGAGUAUUUAUCUUAAUUUUAUGCAAUUAGUUCUAAUAAAACAUCAAAGGAUCAACCAACACUUUUUGUACUCUCAUGUUAUUGUUUACUCUGAAUUGCUAGAGACCGGGGGGUGUGAUGAGAGCACAAAAGUGCGAUCUAAAUACCCAUUAACUUAGCCUAAUGCUAGUAAAAUAAUGAUAAAUAAUAGGUGUUAACAUUUGCAUGAUUAAAUAUUUUAUCCUUAACACUUAUUAUAAUUUUUAUCAUUAUUUUAUAUAAAUUCAUCUUAAAAGAAUGCAUCUUCCUAACUGCAGAACAGAGUCCAUGAUUCUUCUUCCGCGCACCCGAGCAACUUUCCAUAUUUUGCGAUGCAUCCCAAGCGCCAGCAUCAGUUGUUUUCCAUCUUCACCGUCUACGUUCACAGCACAUCACCAGCCGUCCACCCGCAUCCGAACACCAUCGGUCAGCGUCCGCAUGUGAUCAGCUCCCAGCAUUCAUCAUCUCCCGAGCAACUUNNNNNNNNNNNNNNNNNNNNNNNNNNNNNNNNNNNNNNNNNNNNNNNNNNNNNUCCCUUCCGAUCCAUCUGCCUCUUCAACGUUGGAUUCCCCAACGAUUUCAUCUCCUCCCAGCUCCAACGAUGAAGCCCAGCCAUUCAGCAUCCCAUGAAACAUCUCCCAGCCGUGUCCGCAUCUUCCAUUGUUUCUUCCCAAAACAGAGCAUAUGAAUCUUAGCGUCCGCAUGCCAUCCAGAUCCUCACGAGUACACGCGUUCAUCCAGUCGUUCGCUAGAAUCCCAGCAUUUCCGCGUGCAAAUCUUCCGCUUGUGAAGCCAUCCAGUCACCUGAGUUCCAGCCACAUCAGCUCCCAGCGUCCGCGAGUAGGUCGGCAUCCCGUGAUUUCAGCAUCGGCGAUCAAGCUUCCGCGCAUGCAUCUCAAAGCUCACCGGCCAUCCAUGGUUUAGCUCCCACGCAUCCUAACCGAUCCCUAGCAUCUACGAUCACAGCACAUCCCAGCAGCCUCCAGGAUUCGUGAUCAUCC